rnacentral:tRNA from 1 species
AGAAUGGCUGAGUAAGUAAGCAUUAGACUGUAAAUCUAAAGACAGAGGAGUUUCCUCUUUUUACCA